rnacentral:lncRNA from 1 species
UUUCUUUUUUUUUGUUGAAAGCCUUGACCCCAGGGGAUGUCAGAUCCGCCACAAAUACAAGAAACCGACUGUUCACACGGACAGAGUCUCCCCUAUAUUUGCAUGGCGUCACAUAUGUACAAGAUACAACCACAGUACAUAAAUAAUCAUAUACAUUCACCACAUCACAUAAAUCGAUUCACAUUCGGUCAUUCGCAAGAAUACAAUAUUUAUUUAUAAAUCCACAUCUAUCAGUUUAAAACGUUUCCCACCCGGAAACUCAUUUUGAAAUACUAAAAAUCAUGAAAACCAAAAAAAUCUUUCUAAAACCGUUUUCCACGCCAAAACCUUUUCCUAUAAAAACAAGCUACCGCGAGGGGUAGAAACCAUUUUCAUAAUCUUACAUGAAAACCACAAGUACUUUAUUUAAUUUCACAAAACCUUAUAUAUAUCCAACUAAAAUAAAAGCAACUGAACCAUAGAAUAUCUAAGUAGUUAU